CAAUAGCGUAUAUUAAAGUUGUUGCAGUUAAAAAGCUCGUAGUUGGAUUUCGGAUGGGAUUUGCCGGUCCGUCGUUACGAUGUGCACUGGCCAGUCCUAUCUUGUUGUCGGGGACUAGCUCCUUGGAUUCACUUCCUGGGACUAGGAGCUGACGAGGUUACUUUGAGUAAAUUAGAGUGUUCAAAGCAAGCCUACGCUCUGAAUACAUUAGCAUGGAAUAACACGAUAGGACUCUGGCUUAUCUUGUUGGUCUGUGAGACCAGAGUAAUGAUUAAGAGGGACAGUCGGGGACAUUCGUAUUUCAUUGUCAGAGGUGAAAUUCUUGGAUUUAUGAAAGACGAACUUCUGCGAAAGCAUUUGUCAAGGAUGUUUNCAUUAA
rnacentral:rRNA from 1 species